rnacentral:lncRNA from 1 species
GUUUCAUUUUUGUAUUAUAUUUACUUCAGUUCCACAAAUUCUAUUCUGUAGCUUCUCAUUGUGACACAAGUGCAACAGUUAAAUAGAAAAUUCUGUAAUCUAGUCACUUAUGCCUGUCGCAGGAAUCAUUUCAUUUGGAGAAGACGUAUUUUCGAUUUAGUAUGAAUGAUAGAAAUGCAUAUUAUGAAAAAGGAAAUUAUCAAAAUUAUAAUGGAGUAGUCGUAACUAUUGUUUGUUUGGAUAAUACUUUCAGCAUCACAAACAACUUAAAAGAUGAUAAUGGGUAACAUCUUGUGGCAGACCUGUUCUGUGUGAUGUGCUAAGCACCUUGCAUAUAUUCUUUUGUUUGUAAUUCACUGAGAUUCUAUGAACUAAGUGCUGUGUUAAGGUUAGAUAUUGACUUGCCAGAGUUAACACAGCCUGUAAAAGAUGGAUCUGGGAUUCCAACCAAGCCUUGCCCGACUCCACGAUCUAUAGAUUAACUAUGACAUAAUCUAUCUUCCUAUCCAUUAUCUCAUUUCAUUCUUAUUACUCAUAAGCUAUUAAUUUCCUUUUAUUCAGGGUCAGGGAAACUGAGAUUCAGGGAAGUUUAGUGCUUAGCCUUAAGCUUCCAUCCUGGAAAAGCCAGAAAAAUACUAGAAAGGGAAAAUUUUCUCGUUUUUCUCUCCUAUCCCAUUUCUUUCCCAUGCCCCCCCAUUUAUAUCCUCUUUAAAACCUUGAGGGUUCAGGUGCUACCCAUUUGAACCACAUUUGCUUUUUACACCAAAAUAAAACUCUGCUGGGGAUUAUCUUAGAACAGCUUCCCUAGAAUGCAGAGCCUGGGGCACAAGCUACGUGCUAAUAUUUCAUUGGGGAGAACAGUUUUUAGGAAGCAGGAGUGAAGUGAAAGGGAAAUUAAAGGAAAGUUGAAAAGGGGAAAUACAAAGGGAUCCAUUACCUAGCUGAUCACAACUUUGUGAAAGUGGGGCUGAUUGUUUAUUCUCACGAGGUGCCUGUAUGGACUUUUUUUUUUUUCUUUUUCUGUUUAAACAGUCAGUCUUGGAGGAGAAAGGAAAAAUAAUAUAUCUAUGAAUUCUCUUCUCGCAUUUCCAAAGUUUCCCCAUUGUAUGUCACCUGAGUUACUCUCAGCCCUCCUGCGGCAGCUGUUCUAGGGAGUGACUAGGAAAGCUAAAUCCUAACACAGUGGAAGUAUCCAUGUAACAAGCCAAGAUAUAUGAGGUAGUCCAUGGUCAGUCUCUGUCUGGUCACCUACAGUUUAAAGGUCCAUGGACCCCCAAGGGACCAGUCAGGGCUCCUGCAGAGGCACUGAGCUAGUCCUCACGAAUGACAAGGAAACCUAUAGUUUGUCUGUUAAGAUGCAAAAGGCGUGAUGCUGUCACAUCAUGCUUGCACAGCACAUUAUCACAAUUACAAAAAUCCUGCAGUGUGUGACAGGAAAUAUGCAAGCAGAUUGAAAAAACCAGGAAUUCUAGAAAACCUAGGAUCUCCUCAAGAGAAGGAUUUAUCUUCCAAGGAAUCAGCUGUAGCUUUCCCGAAUGUCGAAGAACAGAAGUUGGGGGUUAUCCUGCAAGCCCAGGCUGGGUUGGGUCACAUAAGUGCAUGGGCACAUUUACAAAUUAUAUCCAGGUUGUUUCCAACUUUUAUCUGAUAACAGUUCACUCUAAGCAGGUGCUUAGCAUUCUCAUCAUAUAAUAGUAUCUCUGCACAUUUGAGUUCUCAGAGGUCCAAUAAGAGGCAGGUUUCUCCACCCUGGUAGACCCCACUGUAUCUCACUACCCAUGACCACAAGUUCUGAAGACACGGCCCUGCCAGAGGAUGGCUGCUGAAUUUAAACCUUCCUGCACAGAAGUUGAAAACCUCAUCCCAGCACCUAUUAAAAUGCAGUUGUUGCCAGGCAGUCUUCUUUAGAAGGUCAUCAAAAGCAUCAAGCAGAAAACUGGCUGAUUGAAUCCCGAGAGUUGUCUAAACUCUGUGGACUAAAGCACAAGUUCCAACUUAUCCUGCCCUCAUGCUGGGACAUAGCUAAGCCUGAAUAAGUUUGGAGGGCUUUUGAGUCAGAAGAGGGGAGACCCUCCUGAUCGUAAUUUAUGUGAUGGUCUUAGGUACUUCAGGGAGGUGAAUCCAUCCUGAGGAAGAGAGCAUGAGAUGGAAAUUUGGUCCCAUGACAAAGUAUCUUUUAGUGUAAGGAGGGAUGUGCCUCAUGCUUAUCCUCCUGGACUGUCUGAUUACUAUAUGAAUGGGCUGUUAAAAAAGAAAACACUAAAACAGUUAUCUCUAUCUACUUUUCACUGGGUGCUGUCAGAACUUGCAUAGGUCACAAGGGUCAGGAAGUGGUACGUGUAGCAACCAAUGGCAGUAUUCCUUGUGUGAUGAGCAAGGACAGAUAUUCUGGCUGUAGCAGCAUGAGUGGCGUUAUCUACCAUAUUCCCGACAUCAGAUGUUGCCACCACUGACCCAGACAUUAGUGUCUUUGGCCUCUAGUGUCAGCAACCUAGGUCCAGCCAUCAGUAGCCUUAGUAACAUCAGCAGCUGCAAAGAAGCUUCAGCAGGCGUGAUCAGCUGGAGGUGUACUUUUGGUAGGGAAUAAGAGGCAGACAUCUCUAGAACAGGCUUGGGGUCUGCUUUUCUGUGUUCUUGAGGGACAGGCAACCUGGAUGGGGGAGUGUUGACUGUGCCUAACUCAUGCUUUAAUGGUGAUGGUGCUGGGGUCAUUUCAGGACCACUCAGUUGCCUAAGAAAACUUGCUCCACAUUCUCUAGGCGGCAAGGAGAGACAGGUCCAGGGGUCUGCAAACUUUUUUCUGUAAAGGGCCAGGUAGUAAAUAUUGCAGGCUUGGCAGGCCUUGCCAUCUCUAUUACAGCUAUUCAACUCUGCCAUUGCAGCACAAAAGCUGUCAUAGAAAAACGUAAAAGUGAUCCUGUGUUCCAAUAAAACUUUAUUUACAAAAACAGAUCACUGGCCAGGUUUGGCUGCUCAGCUGUAGUUUGCUGACCCCUAGAUUUGUUAAAGAAAACAUCGCACAGUUAGACCAAAGUAGCAGCUUUCUUUUUAUCCCUAUUCCUAACAGACCAGAAACAAACACCCUUUCUAAUAUUGUGCCAUUUCUGUCUCUGCCAUUAACAUUUUAUUUUGACUUUAUAACUCUUUAACUGCAUGAAACAUUUAUAUAAGACAGUAAAGAAUAGUGAUGUAUUCAUUAUUUUUUAUUGCCUGGAGGAUGACUGAAAAUGAAAUGUACUUACCAGCUGCCAUAGUCAACUGAUGAAAUUAUGUGUCCUCAUUCAUUGAUCAGUUUAUGAAAUGAUAAGAAAUACGUAUUCCAUUAUUUUACAAGCAUUAUGUGUGAAACUCAUAAUUGUUUAUAACACUAAAUCCCAAUUCUUCUGCAAGAGACAUGAGGCAAACGAAUAACUGAAAAAUCCUGUCCUAGGCAUAAUGUAACCUCAGAAUUACGGUCAAUAUGCACAUUCAGUGAAAACAAGCCAUGAAAUUUAGCAUCCAGGGAAUACUCUUGCACAAGUUGACUUGAAUAAUUAAAUAUACUCCCCUUCCUGUAAUAGGGUGGCUGUUCGUCUGUAGAGGAACAUGAGAUGCUUCAAGUAUCACUAGAAUAGGGGCUCAGAGAUCUAUGGUGGUAACAUAUGUGUUUAUUCAAUGUAUACAUAUUUAUACACACAUACAUCAUAUAUGUUCACUGUGUAUGUACAUGCAUGUGCAAACAGAUAUAUACAUACACGUAUGUAUUUUCCAAACUCUGUUGAUUUAAUCUUAUUUUAUUUAAGCUCAUGUAGCCUAAAAAAAGAAGAGAGCUUAGACAUCAGCACCCGCCUUAUUUUCAUGGGAUCGCUCUGCAGAUCCCAGGGAGCGUGUAACCGAGUAUGGUCUAGUCACGACACGAAUGCCAGCUGAGUUAGGAUUCAAAACACCCUCUUCUCCAUUCCUGCUACCACAUCCUGCCUUGAGCUCUCCUCAUCUCCACCUCCAGUCAAUACUCUUUUCCCUGCUGGAAAUCUCUUUUUAGUUUAUUGCUCUUUUCAUUGUAUGGAGACUUUCUUCAUUGUUUUUUUCUUUCAAGCUUUGUGUGGGCUUCAUAUCUUAUUUGUCAUUAGGAAUACAAUAAUGCAAUCCGUUGUAAAAGAUUUAUAGUUUUUCAACACUGAAACACAUUUCCUGCUAUUCUGCUCUUAUGCCCUUAUCGAUAUUUAUAAGUAUUCUGAGAUAGCAAAUGAUCUCAAUAAAUAUCACCAUUUGCAAAUACUUAUUUAGGUGCUGAAUAUUAUAAAACAAAAAAAAUUGUGGAAAUAAAUUAGCUGAGGCUGAUAGAAGACUAGUUCUCUAGUUUAAUUCCUUAUUUCAAGUGAUUUUAUUUGUUGACAAUUUCAUUUUUUCUCAUGGACUGACUUUUAAACUUAGAAAAUAAAUGUGCAUGAAUAAAAUUAACUUUCAUCAGUUUCCCCAAAUAUGUUUACCAUAAAAUAUUUUAUUUUUAAAGUUUCUUGCUAUUUAAAAAUGAAGUGAAAAUCAGUGAAACAGUAAAAUAAUGUUAAAAUUGAGGUGUUGACAGGUGAAUGUACCAUAUGUUGAGAUAUUUAGCCAAAUUAAGUGCAAGAAAAGAACUUAAGAAGUAAAUGACUCCAAGACUAGUUUUCUGAAACAAAGAGCCUAUAGAAACUCCCCUAGAAGCUCAUUUAGGGUCGCUGGUGUGUAAAAUCACAGAAACAAGACCCACUCUGUCAGAGCUGCAGAUAGAACCCUUGCCUCGCCCCCAAAUUCUUUCAUUCAGCCUAUUUCUAAUGCAUGCCAGGCACUUUUCUAGGUACUAGGUUAAAUAAAAUAGGUGACUCUUUCCCUUGAGGAGAUUACAUUCUAGCAGGAGAAAACAGACAAGAAGCCCAAUACGGUAUUAUGAUGAUGAUAAUAAUAAUAAUAUUAUUCCAAGAUGGAAAAAAUAAAGCCAGUUCAUUUAACUGAGAGUGCUAGGCUGGGAGGGAUGUUGGGUUAUUUUGGGUAAGUGUCAUAGAGAAGGAGACUUGCAGCUGAGGAGGGAAUGAGCCACGUGAGUUUCUGGAAGCUGUCGUGACGAGUGACCAGUUCACAGGGGCUGCGGGAACAGAAGGAGGUCCGUGUGCUGUGGUGGAAAGAUGAGGAGUGAAAAUAAUAAUAGCCCAUGAUUACUCACCUCCCCACACUGUCAUAGACCCUGCAAUAGCUUCCAGACUGUGGUUUUGAAGCCACUGUUGUAGUCAUAACUACCAUUCAACAGAUGAAGACACUGAGUCUAGAAAUUAAGCUACUGGCUCAAGGUCACUGUUUUGUAUGUACAUUUAGCAUUUUUAGCACUGCCUUGCUCUUUGAUUCUUAAGAUCCUUAUUUUGCCCACAACAAAACUCCAAAGAACUUAACUCCCUCAUGAUUGCAUGAAUGUUAGAGAUAGGAUUAAAAUCCAGUUCUGUUUUUAAGAUUAAUGUUCAGGGCACCUGCACAUGGGGGCCUCUUGUGAAAUUGCCCAAUAACAACUAAGAAAUGCAACUAUAGACAGGCAAUGUGAGGUUUGUUAAAAUUUCCUAAAGAGGAGAAUAGCUGAAGGGUCUGAGUCCUUUAAUGGGGUUCAAAUGGGAGAAAGGAUCCUUUUAGAAUUUGUGGAAUGAUUUCAAUUAAAGAGAGAAGAUACAGGGGAAAUGUGGAGGGAAACGGGGGUUGGGAUUGACAUAUACAGACGACUCUAUAUAAAAUAAAUAGGUUAGGAGUUCCCCUUGUGGCUCAGCAAGUUAAGAACCUGACAUAGUGUCUGAGGAUACGGUUCAAUCCCUGGCCUCGAUCAGUGGUUAAGGAUCUGGCAUUGCCUUGAGCUGUGGCAUUGUUUGCAGAAGCAGCUUGGAUCUGGUGUUGCUGUGGCUGUAGUGUAGGGCGGCAGCUGCAGCUCAGAUUUGACCCCUAGCCUGGGAACUUCCAUGCGCCACAGGUGCUGCCCUAA